AGGGUACCCGCUCUGGAUAUCUACAAUUUUGUUGGUUCCCUUGACGACGAAGAAAGGCUCGCAAAAUUGAAGGAGUACUGAGCACAAGUUCAUCAUAUACCCUAAAGGAAUGGAGGAAACAUUCAAGUACUGGCUGUCUUGAAAGGAGUUGUUGGCUGAUCAUCAAUGGGUGAUGUUUUACCUGGACUCUAUCACUAUCUGUCUUGAAAGGUCUCGUUGGCUGAUUAUCAAUCGGUGAUGUUCUACCUGGACUCUAUCACUAUCUGUCUUGAAAGGUCUCGUUGGCUGAUUAUCAAUGGGUGAUGUUCUACCUGGACUCUAUCACUAUCUGUAUUGAAAGGUCUUGUUGGCUGAUUAUCAGUGGCUGUGGUCUUACCUGGACUCUAUCACUAUCUGUCUUGAAAGGUCGAGGGAAGUGUGGCAGCUCCUUGAAUGGUAACGAGGCGCGGGACUUUCCGUUAAUCCUCAUCUCUAGGGAGGUGAGCGAGAGGAACAGUGCAAAGAUCGAGCUUUUCUGGAAAUACUCGGUCUAGAAAACACGAUGACUAGAUUACUAUGAUAAUGAACUACCUCAAAGACAAACCUGCUUUAACAGAGCUUCAACCCCCUUUAACACACUGCUACACUGGAUCGCGACCUCGUCCAAUCUGUGGUUACCAAAGAGAGAAACUGUUGUCAGGCUUGAUCUCAGCAAAAUGAGGCUCAAAGUAAGGCUCGCCGAUUACUUGUGCCGUUUGUGGGACGGUGGAUCGUGUGAUAGCAGCACCCAAUGCCUUCUGGGAAAUUGCUUACACACUACCUCACACAAGUUUGUCAACUGCGUGGAGCAGUCCGUAACACUACUGGCAGGUUGUUAGUUUUUUUUAAAGGUACUGAUGAGUAUCAACAGUACACAAAUACUUGCGCUAUAGAAAUACAACACAUACGUACAUUUUUAUCGACAUUUAAUAGAUAUUACUGGAAAACAUUACGUACCUUUCGAUGCUGUUGACAUACCUCCCAGCGCAUAUUAUCUAAAAGACGUGCAGACUGGUUAAAUAUGGGCCUUUUUUCUGAAUACUACCCAAGACCAAUCUGGAAUCUUUAAACAGGGGACUAUAAAUCAAGUGUCUUAUUGUGCAUUAAGGAAAUACUCGAACAAAACUGACCAUUUCACGAAAAGUCUCCCGGGUGCUUUUAUUGUUGUGCCCCUCUUCGAGAAGACGAGAGAGUAGCUCUGGAGACACCGACACGCCAUCGGGAGACCAACCAGACAGGCAACCCAGAAAGCACAGAGACACAUCCUGAACAAUAAGAGCAAUGAUUACUAUUGUGUGUCGCUUUUAAAGUCUUCCUCGAAAACGUGAUAAAAAGUCUGAUGAUGAUGUCACGAUAUACCACGUGAAAAGACACAACGGAUGAAAAUGACUUUAGUUCCGUUGUUGUUUCAUAGAUUCAUCACUUGUCUCUUUUUACUAGGUAUGCGAUGACAUACCAGGAAACUAUUUGGAACAGAAAAGAUACCGCCCACAACGCAAAAAAAAAAAAAAAAACGAAAACCACAUACGAACUGAACCAAACAACUUAACAACAGCUGUGCGAUUUCUGAUAAUGAUGAAUGCACCUUGCAUGUAUGUAAAACAUGCAAAAGUUGUUCGGUGAGGGAUAAAACAGCUAGAAAAUGACAGACAUAAAAUCCGCUCCUGCAUGGGCGAGGAUACCAUGCGGUGCCUUAAUUACCCUAACAAAAUAUUAGAAACACAUGUCAUCAUGUGGAAAAAUAUGACGCCUAUAUCACACGGAUGACCAAGUGUGUGUGUCAGUGUAUGGGGGCUCCAAUCUCUGCGUGACCGGUUCGAUUUCCGGUCGGGACGUGAAUAGUAUCUCCUGAAUUUGACUUUCUUAAUACAUACGUAGUAAGAUUUUAAAUAUGAAGCACUUAGAACAUGGUUUGUACUGUUUUAAGUGCUAUACAACUGCUAUAUUUUUUAUGAAUAGUUUGUAGGCCUUUCGUAGGCAAUAACUUGACAUGUCACCUUAAUAGGGAGUUGAGCUUUCUAAUACCUGUUGUGGGUGAAGCGAAGUCUUCUUGAAUCCUUCCCAGAGGUCGUCCUCCACAUCCUCUGGAAAAUAAUUAAAUACUUUCUUUGAAUGUACCUAUAGCCUUAUUUAUCAGAUGGCACGUGAUCGUUCGUUUCAGGAGAGGAAGUGAAACACCAUCGUCAGGUCCAGUCCGCUAUUACCAUUACAGUUAAACAGAGUUUGCCUCAGGCACUCAAAUCAAUUUUGUGGGCUAUUUUUUUCAUUCACCGAUAUUAACAUAUGAGAAAGAGAUUUAAACGCAGCUCACAAGCACAGAAACUCAAAAUGUAAUAUGAUGAGCAACAAAGCUAGAUGUACAACCGACGACUCAGACAAGGUAGAAUUAAAGGAAAUCCUCAAGCCCAUCUCUUACCA